AGAGCGAACGCUGGCGGCGUGCUUAACACAUGCAAGUCGAACGCGCAGCAUUCUGUAGCAAUACAGGGUGUGGGCGCGUGGCGAACGGGUGCGUAACACGUGGAUAACCUUCCUUGAGGUGGGGAAUAACCCAGUGAAAAUUGGGCUAAUACCGCAUAACAUCGCGAUGGCACAUGCUGAUGCGAUCAAAGGCGCAAGUCGCCACAGGAGGGGGUCGCGGCCGAUUAGUUAGUUGGCGGGGUAAUGGCCCACCAAGACAGUGAUCGGUA
rnacentral:rRNA from 1 species